GUCGAGAAUAAUUCACAAUGGACGAAAGUCUGAUGGUGCAACGCCGCGUGGAGGAUGACGGUCUUCGGAUUGUAAACUCCUGUCAUCCGGGAGUAAGACCUGGCUGUGAAUAGCAGACAGGGUUGAUAGUACCGGAAGAGGAAGGGACGGCUAACUUCGUGCCAGCAGCCGCGGUAAUACGAAGGUCCCGAGCGUUGUUCGGAAUCACUGGGCGUAAAGGGAGCGUAGGCGGCGUGGUAAGUCAGAUGUGAAAUCCCGGGGCUCAACCUCGGAACUGCAUCCGAUACUGCCAUGCUUGAGGGCUGGAGAGGUAACUGGAAUUCUCGGUGUAGCAGUGAAAUGCGUGGAUAUCGAGAGGAACACUCGUGGCGAAGGCGAGUUACUGGACAGCAUCUGACGCUGAGGCACGAAGGCCAGGGGAGCGAAAGGGAUUAGAAACCCUGGUAAUCC
rnacentral:rRNA from 1 species